CAGUGAUAACUAUUCAAGAUCUUUAGUAAUCGGAGCUGUGAAAACAACAAUGAAAUAUCAUCGUGAGUAAUCAUUGUUGUAUUUAUACUGGCUAUAAUAAGCCUCAAUCUCAUUCAAGCAUUCCCAAUAGAGGUUGCUAUUGAUGAGAUUGUUAUAGUGCAUAUUAUUACGAUAUUAUGAUGAGAUUGUUAUAGUCACAUUCUACAAUACAUUUGAAUAAUUAGGUCACAAUUAAAAAGAUAGAAAGUGCUAAAACCAAUGUCUCGAUCACCAAAACAAAACUCUAUCCCUCAUGAUUCUCUUCUGUAGCACAAGCUUCAAAGGAACCGCUUGUUAACAUGUUGUCAAAUAUAACAAAAGGAAUUAGCCCUGAUAAAAGGUUUGUCCUACUGUUUUGUUUUUAGUGGAAUAAAAAAGUGUUAAUAGUUGUGCAUACUUAUCGGCAGGGUGUUAGCUAGCCCAUAUACUGUCCGUUUGACGGACUCUUCCCAAUUGAAGUAGUUAAGGGGCUUUCCCAACUGGGUCUACUGGAAAAUUUUCAUUUUUUCUGAUGAGAAAGUGCAUUGCGUUUGAUUUUAUAUUAUUAUAUCAAAGAACGUUUUAUUUACUUUUUCCCAUUAUUAACUAUUUUCUCAAAAUGUAUCGCGUUUCAUUCAUAUUGGGUGUGUAUUCACUGAAAUGUACAAAACAGAGUGUAAUCGGUGUGCAUCCGUGUUCAUUCACCGGAAAUGAAGUAUACAAAACGAAGUACCAUCGGGUGCAUUUUUCAGUGUUCAUUCACCGGAAACGAAAUGUACAAAAACAAGCUACCGUUGUUUGCAUCUAAGGAGAAACACGUUGGAAAAAACACUAUUUAUUCCUACACAAGGACUUUGAUCGGUCAAAAAAACUUUCCCAAUUUACGGUUAAACGGACAAAACUUUUUUCUGGCUAACACCCUGUUAUGAUAUCUGAUUGGUUAAUCGGAUAUAUCAAAUGCAUAUGAUUGGUUAAUCGGAUAUAUCAAACGUGUCUGAUUGGUUACAGUCGAUUUCAACUUACUUUUCACUCGAAUGUUCCGAACUUCGUUCCGAACUUCGCAAAUUCGUUGCCAAGUUCAAAAGUUCAUAAUGAAAUUNNNNNNNNNNNNNNNNNNNNAAACCAGCCAAUCAAAUGCCCAGUUUACAAACCUGUUUGUGAAUUUCAUUAUGAACUUUUGAACUUGGCAACGAAUUUGCGAAGUUCGGAACAUUUGAGUGAAAAGUAAGUUGAAAUCGACUGUAAUGAUCUCUUAAUUGUAGCAGUCGUGGAACUCAAAUCUGAACUUCUCUAUUUAUGAUUAGAUUAACUCGAUGUUUUCUCUAGUGUUCCAGCUUCGUUAUUACCUCCAUUGAAAUGGUCGUGCCUCGUUGUCAUGCAUGGCUUUAGUGACGCAGAUGAUCGUCAGGGUGUUUUAUGGAAUAAACUUGUCCAAUCUCAAUGUUCCCUCAUCUCUGUUGUAAAUACUGGAUGCAAGAAACUCCAGUUGUCUGCAAAGAAAUGUUUUGGCAAUCUUCUUAAAAAU
rnacentral:lncRNA from 1 species